CAGCAUUAAUACUCAAAGUGUCACCAAUAACAAUGAGCUCACGUGGAACAUGCGGUGAGUAGGUGGCAGAUAAUGCAAAUACACUAACAAGCCCAACCCAGACCCAGGAUCAGACAGCGGGCCUGGACAGAGAGUGCCGAUGCUGGAGGAAGACAUGCCUGAAACAGGAAAACCAGAGGUUCAGAAGUGAUGGAGUCUGAACAAGAUGGUAUACAGCCC
rnacentral:lncRNA from 1 species